UUUUUUUUUUUCGGUCUGAAAGACCUAAAAUUGGUAUGAUUCGCAUUUGCUAUCUUGAAUAUGUAACUCCAUCAGAUUUUCCGUAGGUCUUCAAAGUUGGAGCUCAAAGUUUGCUUUUGUUUUUCUUUUUUCUCUGGCCCUUCUCUAUCUUGCAAAUUCCCUUUGAUUUACCCACUGCCCUCCCCAAUCUGCAACAGUGACAGUUUGCUGCCUCAAAACAGAGCAUUCAAAUGAAUUCGCUUAGCCAAUAACUUCUGUGAAGUUGCCUUUUCUAAUGGUGUUAUUACUCAGUGAUGCACAAAUGUGGUAUUUGCCCUACUGGUAGGCAAAACAAAGGUCUGGUUAGGAAUGGUAACCUGCUGUUUUCUUUAAAGGAGAGCCAAAGACUUGUGCUUUACUCUGUUUUGGUUUGGGAGGAAAUAGCCAUUUUGAUUGUGAAACCUUUUAGUAUUCAUGAGUUGAUUAUAUUGUGUAGGGAGAUAGGUCUAAAGUUGACUCUGAAAGUUAGCUGGCCUUAUAAAAUAUAAAAGUAAUGAAAACCCAUCAGUUUUUCUAAAACCAUGAAUGUCAUCUUUUACAGUAUUGUGUGUAAGCAGUUCCUGCCCCCAUAUACUGAGAUUGUCUUGUCAUGAUAGCUUGUUAUAUUUUUGUUUUACUUGUGCCUAUAAGACAAUCUACUGUCAGUAUGAUCAAGUCUUGGGACUGAGUAAAAGAAUCCAUGAACAUGUGAUUGGUGAAAAAUAAUUAACUGUAGUUCGUACCUGUUAGAUUAUAUUCAGAUUCAGAGAAAAAGAGAUUCUUUUCACUAAACAUAAAGAGUACUCGGUUGCUAUUGCUUAUAUAUAAAUGGUGAUAGAUGGAGAUCUAACCAUCUCUUUUCUGCUUUCUUUUUGCUCAUUUUAAAGAGUUGAGUAAAGGUUUCAUGUAUAAACUGUGUCUGUGAAAAGCACUUGUAAUGUUUUAUAUGUCAUUAAAAGGCCCAGUUACUUUUUAGGGGAAAUUAAGAACCUACAGGUGGAAAUUACAGGUGGAAAUUAACUGCAGUGUUUACUUAGAUUUUUACCCUAAAAGUCCAAUUGUGUUUUGUUGUUAUUGAUGAUAGAUGAUUAUUGUGUUUGCAAGGUGAUAUCUUCCAUGAAAAAUCUGCCUAUCCUUUUAGGUAAAAAUUAGGGCUUCUAAACUAAAGCAUAUUCUAUGUUCUACAUUAGGGAUUGAAAAAGUAAGCAGUCUACUGCUGUCAUUAUUUUACCUGACUGUGCAUUUUGCUGGCCUAUAUGCACACUUUUCUGCCUUGGACAACUAUGGUUUUUAUAUUUAUUUGUGGCUUCAACUCAGCUUUAUGAAAAUUUCCUGCUGAAAUUACUUAUUGGGAAUUACAGGUGGAUUGCAGUUAAUAUAUUUUUUUAAAUUCUUAUUUCAACUUUCCUGAGCCACUUGGAAAAAGAAAGAUGUUUUUGUCAAAAGACACUAUUAAUUAUAGUAAAUGCCAGCUUACAAUUUGAUUCUUAAGAUUUUCUUUGCUAAAGAUGUUUUCACAUGUUUUAGAUUCUAACUGAGUAACACUAGCAGCAAGUUUACUUUAUAAAAAAACUGCCACCACCAAGAAGUAACACCUUUUAAUAAUAAAUAUGUUCCCAAUGGGUGAGUUUUCAAUACUGCACUGAACAAAGUGGGUAAAGAUCCCUUUGAAAUUCUAUUGUGAUAAAGGGACUAACCUCACCACUGGAAUUACAGAGCUUGUGAGUUUUCAGCCAAACACUGACCUUCCCCUAAACUUUAUUCCUGAGCAGAACAUCCCUAGAUUAAUAACUUUUAUUUUCAAAAGAAAAUAAGGCACAAUAACCCAAGAGAGAGAGAAUUUAAAAUAAGCCUCACGACAAAAUAUUGUGUCCAAAAUAUGUAUUUAGAAAAAUAAAAUCCUGUGGAGUUUGUUGUCCUAAUGUAUGUUAUAUACUAGAUAAGGUGAUUUAUUUUCUUGUAUUGAGGUCUCAUUGUUUCUAGUUGGGGUUUUUUGUGUGGUUUUUUCUUUUUCUUUUUCUUUUUGGUUUGGUUUUGUUUUAAUUUAAACUCUUAAGUAGACAGAGCUCACAAGUCUUUGGCAUCCAUUCUAGGUUGUACACUCAAGAGUCAUCUUAUAACUGGAAACUGUCAGGUGGCCCCCUCCUCCAACUCCAGCUGGUGUAUGAAAGGAUCAGGAAAAGAAUGGAAGCAAACUAUUGGGUGGAUAAUCGGUAGCCUGUUUUUUUUUUUUUUUUAAGAAAUCACCAUUUAUUAGCGUUAUCUUUCUCCACUAAUUGACUGCCAUUCUCACAGUAAUAUCUGAGCCACCCUGUAAAAUGUUCCUCUGAUUUCAAGGCAUUUUAAGCUUUUGCUUAUCAUGUUUACAUCCUCUGUUCAUACUAAGACACUGUUCUGAGAGCUACUUUUUCCAAGUGUAUUGUUGCCUAAAUUUCCUUUAUUUCUUCUUCAUCCUUUCUCUUCUUCCUACAUUCUGGGAAUGAAAGGAACUUAGAAGAAAAAAGUUGAUUUUCCCCCCACCCCCACCCCACCACUAAUCCAUAGGCUUCAUUAUUUUACUUUAUAGUAAAUCUAUGACUUUUUAGAACAACAGAAAUGGAAAAAAUGAAUUAAGAUAAUGAACAAAACCUUUCACCCACUUAAACAUUUUCCAGUUGUGAGAUUUCUCUUCUUGUGUGUGGUCUCUUCCCCGUGUUACCCCUUUUCCCCUGACUAUAGUCAGUGUGGUCUUUAGGCUCAUACCAGUCUCCCCGAGACAUUCUGCAGUCAUUAUCACCUUUUUGGGUGGAUUUUAUUUUGUUUUUUUUUUUUAAUAACUUUUUAAUAUUGAUGCAUAUUUGCUUGGGAUAGAGCUUGUGUAAUUUACCAAUCGUAUUGAUUGUAUGUCAUUGUGCCCUGCAGAGGUAUAUUUAACAAGACAAAAAUAAUGUAGGUUAAUAAAGGAGCCCAUUAUAUUUGAGUCAGGUUAUAAAUGACCAUGAAAUCAUUUACAGUUUGAAUAGUGAAAAUUAAUGUCUCCUGUUCUUAAAUUAGUGCUAGACAGAAUAUCAUUUUUAAAAGUUUUUGUGCAUUUCUGUUAUUUUCCCCUUACCUUAGCUCCCUGUUCUUUCUCGCCUGCCUCACCCACCUGUUAAGAAUUAAAAAUAUUGAGCCUUAAAGGGACAGCUCGUUUUUAAAUUGCUAAAGUUUGUGAAAUUUCACGUUUUCCAAGUGUUUCCAACUUUUCUUUAAAAAGUGAAGACAGAUAAUGAGUUGAAAUUUCACAAGCUGUGAAAUUAGCAUCUGGCAAGCUGUGAAAUCUUAUUAUUUGAAGACGUUAUCUCCUAGAAGUUCUUUGGGAAUAGGAAAGAAGAACCCUGUGUUUGAAGUAGACCGUUUUUCUCUCUUUAAAAAUCUGUUUAUAUGUUCAGUUUUUAAAUGGCCUUUAAAAAAAAGUGAGGUGGGGUAAAGUAGUAAUAGAAAGAUGUUUAGGACAGCUAAAUGCUGGGUCUGAGUAAGUAUAUAGUCUACUUGUUGCAGGGUUUUGAGAGGAUGAGGCCAUCUUGUUCAACCUGUGUGCAUGCUGUUUAUAUCAAAGUUGCCACUUUUGUUAAAAUGGUGUUAUUUUCUUUAUUAUCUUGGAAACUGACUCAGCCUCAUGUUGCUCCAAAUUAGUGUUUAAGGCUCCCACAAGUUGCAGAUAAAAAGAUUAUUUUAACCAGUAGAAGGAGGUGAUCGGAGGUGAUCCGCCUUUUGGUUUGUAAAUAUAUGAAAGUGUCUACAAGGUCUUUAUCUGCUUUCUGUCAGCAUUUAUAUUAAAUGAUAAAUUAAUGAGGAG
ensembl:lncRNA